UUAAAUUGAAGAGUUUGAUCAUGGCUCAGAUUGAACGCUGGCGGCAGGCCUAACACAUGCAAGUCGA
rnacentral:rRNA from 55 species